CCUCUCCAUACCCCCAGUGGGGAAGGUGGCACUUCUACCCCAACCCACACUAUCAGGAAGCUCCUGGAGGAAAAAGGAAACACUCCCUACAGAAUGCUACCCAAAAGGGAGGAGUUUUACCUAAGACCUAGAGGGGGUUGGUCCUGAUAGUGCGCCCAAGAGAGGCUGGAGGNNNNNNNNNCCCGGGGGAAGGACAUACUUUUUUGCGCUCCUUUCACAAACACCCUUCCAUGUGGCAGUGCCAGACCCUGCUCAGAAGGAACCCACCUUCUAGCGCAUCCUUGUGUCUGCUCUGGGGUGGAGAAACAGCACAGGGUGCAGUGGAACCUGAAGACAAAAUACACCACGCAGACUGUGGGUGGGGCUUGCAGGGCCAGAGAGGGUCCAUAGAGGAGAGGACAGCCAGGCCGAGACCUGGAGGAGGAGGAGGAGCUAGCAGGUGAGAAGGAGAGGAGGUGAGGGUGUGAGGAAGGGUCCAGGCUAAUAGGUGGCACCUGCACAGGUCACAGACAGGCGGGGGCUGCGCAGCUUUGGGGAGGGAGGAACAUUCUGUCCGGCAGAGUGAUGGGGAAAGUCAGAGCCAGGUGCUACAGAACAGAUGGACUGGGCAGGGACUGAGGGGAACAGCUGGUGCUGAGACAAAGCCCUUUGGGAAGCAUCCCGGGCAGCACCCAGUCUCCCUGUCCCCGCCCCCAGUGGGAAUGGAGGCUACAGCAUCACCAUUGAUGCGGUGCAUGGGGGUCUCCCUCCCUGGACCACGCUUCCCCCACAUCCGCAUCCUCAAGGUUAGGGCUUCCUCACAUUUUCCCAGUUUUGUCAAAACAUCACGUUCUCCCAUGGCCUGUCCUAAUUAGUCUAUUUGCAACAUCUACACUUUCCCCAGCCCUGCUCUGUUUUUCUCCGCCCUUGCCAUCACUCACACACUAUACAUUUUGCUCCUCUACCUGCUUACUGUCCAGCUCCCUCAUUUCUUGUCUGUUUUGUUCACAGCCUAGAUGCUGGGCACAUAGAAGGCACUCAAGAAACAUCUGUGGGAUGAAAACCACUCAUGACAGCUCCUAUACACUGAGGACUUACCAUGUGCCAGACUUUGCCUUCACACUUUACAUCAGUUCAGUUCAGUUCAGUCGCUCACUCGUGUCCGACUCUUUGCGAC
rnacentral:lncRNA from 1 species